GCCGGGAUGGCGGAACAGGUAGACGCGAAGGUCUCAAAAUCCUUUGCCCCUUGGGGCGUGUGGGUUCGAGUCCCACUCCCGGCA
rnacentral:tRNA from 1 species